CUUUGAUGAGUGAGGCACCAUGUCCCCAAGCUGGGUAGGGGUGAUGCAAAUAGCAAUCCGAUGUGGCAUCUGCCCAGAAGAGAUAGCUGUGAAGCCUGCUUAUGGCUGCUGGUGAAGGUCUCAUCUACACUUGAGCUGGAGGUCAGGAAACAGAAAGGGCUCUUUUCCUACCUUGGGCAUGAGCAUCCCACACAGAAGGAAACUCAAGCGCCCCCUCCCUGCUCCACCCCACCAGCACAGGGAUUUAGGAACAAGUGGAACAGCAACACAAGUGAUCUGGCUGUUUCAUGUUCUCCGACUCCAGCAUGGAGAAACUCUCCCGCUCCCCAGACUGGGUGACUGCAAGAAGAGACUAAGAAGCCCUAGAAGGGAAAAAGGCAAUGAUUAUUUGUGAAACGGAGAGAAAAGAUUAUGAGAGGGGAAAUGAUGCAGGAAAAUAUAUAUGGUAGAGAAUGUGUUUUU
rnacentral:lncRNA from 1 species